UCGAGCACGGACCGAAGCAGAAUUCGGUAAGCGUUGGAUUGUUCACCCACUAAUAGGGAACGUGAGCUGGGUUUAAACCGUCGUGAGACAGGUU
rnacentral:ncRNA from 2 species